rnacentral:lncRNA from 12 species
AUGCCUGUGCUGGGCUUUCCUGUGCCUUGGGUGCGGCUGUCCGGCACAAGGAUGGAUUUCCGAAUCCCAGGCUGUACCCGGAGUCCCCUCCCAACAACUGACAACACUAGCAACCUCCCAGCUUCAGGAAGUAGAAGGGGCAGGAGUCACCGGUUUGUCCCUUCUCUACAGGUGCCAGCCGCCUGGCCUGACCCCAGCUCUCAUCGCCUCCAGGAGGACGCUUUCUCUGGUGCGAACUUUGACGGUGGGAGUGUCAAGAAAGACAAGCAGAUAGAUCAUGACAGAAGCGAUCAAUACUCAAUACUCGGGGAAAUGCAGGACCUGUCGCUGUGUGAGCCUGGAGGACGGGAUGCCGGGGGCGUCUCCAGAGGCUUCCUUACCAAACUGCCCGCGCUCCUUCUGGAUCUCAGGGGGCAGGGGGGGAUGCUCGGGAGAUGGUGGAGCAGGGCAGGGGGCAAGGGACAUUCCAGAGGGGAACAGGCAAGGGUCGAGGACGGGGUACAGGGAGGUCAAGGAGCCCUGGGAAAUGUCACCUGCCCUGAAUGGAGAGAAGUGACAGGGGUCGGCACACGUGACCACGAGAGCCUUGAAGGUCAAGCCAGCCGGCUUUAUGUGGUGGGCGCUGGGCCCGGGGAGGGGAGUCUCUAAGCUGAGACACAGAGUGAUGCGGAGUUAAGUGGUAGAUUCUAGAAGCCCUUCUGGUGAGCAGCUUCCUCCCUAGACAUCGCUGUACAAGGUGAGUGGCCCGUAACAUUGGGUUUUUUGCUUCUCAAGAUGCUGGGGCAAAAUCAACGUGCACCGAGGCCUGCGCUUCUCCGGGCGCUUUCCCAAUAUUGCUGCGCGGGGACCUCCGUGCCCCAGGGCCGUGCAGGUGUCCCCAGAAGAGCAGCCCGGGGUAGGGGGGCCCUGACGCAGCCAAGGCCGGAGGGGAGAGAAGUGCCACCACCUGGAGAGCGGGCCGGAGGAGCGCGCUGGGGGAUAUAUGGCAGGUAUCUACAAACCCUCACGCUAAUUGAUGGGCUCCCCAUAUAUCAUCCCAGAUAAAGGGCCCCGUGCAG